CCUACGGGUGGCAGCAGUGAGGAAUAUUGGUCAAUGGACGAGAGUCUGAACCAGCCAAGUAGCGUGAAGGAUGACUGCCCUCUGGGUUGUAAACUUCUUUUAUCAAGGAAUAAAACGAGGCACGUGUGCCUUUUUGCAUGUACUUUAUGAAUAAGGAUCGGCUAACUCCGUGCCAGCAGCCGCGGUAAUACGGAGGAUCCGAGCGUUAUCCGGAUUUAUUGGGUUUAAAGGGAGCGUAGAUGGGGUGUUGAGUCAGAUGUGAAAGUAUGCGGCUCAACCGUAAAAGUGCAAUUGAUACUGGUAGUCUUGAGUACAGUUGAGGGAGGCGGAAUUCGUGGUGUAGCGGUGAAAUGCUUAGAUA
rnacentral:rRNA from 1 species